GGAGCGCCUCUGACUGACUUCCCCCAUGUGUCCGUGUGGCCACACCGUGCUACUUUCAGAGGCAGUGGGCUUUUCGCUAAGGGAUAAAAAGAAGUAAAACCUUGCCUUUAGCGCAGCUCUCCUUCACUGGGCAGAUUGCUCUCCCUCCCCACUCUCCCAGGCCCAAAUUGGAUCUCAGCGCCUGGGAGCUCCAACUUUAGCAAGUGCGAAAUCCUGUCUUCGGUUUUGGAAUUUUCAUCCGCACAGACUAUAUCAGCCACGGAUAGGAUAUGUGAGAAUACCAGCAUGUCAAGGCUGGGAAUCAUCCUUAGGCAUCACCUAGCCAGUCCUGCCUCUCAUUUUAAGUGGGUAACCAGGAUGGAACUGCGGUGUUGCUUGCAGGAGAAGCUUACUACUGGUUUCUACUUCUCCAACCUCAUUGGUGGCUAUGCAGAGAAUAGACGCCUUGAUGGCUCCUCUGGCAGUUCUUGAUGACCAUGGAUGAGCUAAUGGCUGUGGUCUCAAUGGUGGCUUCUUGAGAUGGUAUUGCCUCUGAAUUUGCUGAUUCAGAAGAUGUCGGACUCAUGUUAUCCUAUAGAAGAUGUAACAACCCAUAUACAUUUAUGAAAACCAGGAACUACAUUAUUAUAAUGAUGAAGGAAAAGCCCAAGAAAUCAACCAACCUGA
rnacentral:antisense_RNA from 1 species